GACGAACCGUGCGAACGUUAUUCGGAAUCACUGGGCUUAAAGCGCGUGUAGGCGGGGCGGAACGUCGGUCGCUGAAAUCCCCCGGCUCAACCGGGGAAGGGCGCCGAUACGACCGGCCUGGAGGGACGUAGGGGGAGCUGGAACUUCCGGUGGAGCGGUGAAAUGCGUUGAGAUCGGAAGGAACGCCCGUGGCGAAAGCGAGCUCCUGGACGUUUUCUGACGCUGAGACGCGAAAGCCAGGGGAGCCGAACGGG
rnacentral:rRNA from 1 species